UGACUUUGGACCAACUGGCCGCCCUGCCUUCUCAGAGUUGGCAGCAGAAUGCGGCCGCUCUUCGCACUCGCUCGCGCUUAUAUAACUUCAACGUGCGCGGUGAGCUCGGCUGCCACUUUACACACGGCCUUGCACUUUUGCACUUUUGGAGGAUCCGUCGAACUCUCCUGUGGAUUUCUCCGGGAGCGUCAUUCCUCCUCCACCCCCCCCCAGCCUCUUAAAAAAAGUGGAGCGAGAUUUUUGACUUCGGAUCUCCUCCUCCUCCUCCUCGACCUUGUUUACUUUAGUUGCCAAAUAGUUGCUGCUGAGCAGGGGAUAUUUACUCCAAACUUAAGGACGAGCGUUUUUCUUUGAAAUGUUUUUUUCCGUGUCAAAGGCACGGAAUCUCUUUUAUUCCACGGUUCCUCCACGCUGACUUUGCGUCCCUCCUCGCUAUUUCUUACUGAAUUUUUGACAGGACAUGACUUAAAAAAACGGAGGGCUGCAUCCCUCUCCAGACAGCAGAUAACAAAAUGGAUCAGGGCAGCUCGAAGUGCAACAGUAAUCGAGACGACUGCUUGACAUUCAAAGAGUUGGGAACCGGAGUAUGUAUAGAGUCAGUUGACACCACAGUUUCCCUGCUCAGUGCUCUCCACCCAACUGCCGCAACAUCAAACGGGGGUGGAACCAAAGACCAGGUGGAGCCUAGAAGCCUCCUCGACUCCCACCAGCAGCAUCAGGUCCCACUCGAAGGAUCUGGCAUGAAUGGCCAGGAAAUGGUCCGACUCGAGAAACAGCCGCAGGAAGGUGGCAUGUUUAACAUGGAUGAUGACUUGGCGGUGUUGAGCCAAAAUAUUGCUGAUCUGGACCAUGCGUCCACUUCUGUGAUCGACACCACUCUCUUGGGAAACUUUCCUCUGCCUGACCUUUUCCCCCAGGACAUCAAACAGGAAGGAGAGUUCUCUGUGGAUAAAGAAUUGGGAUUUCACAGCGGACAUCCCUCAAGCAGCAGUCGCCUGAUUGAGGACAGUGAGCUUUGGAAAAACCUGGACCUUCCGGUAUCCCUGAUCAGUGACUUUGAGUUGGAUUCCGAAGUGGCUCACUUCGAUGACAUCCUGCACGACAGCGGCAGACCCGUCGGAGGCUUACCAAAAGCGAUGCAAGUGCCCUUGAGCAACAGCGGCAACUGUCACAACACUCAUGACACCAGCCAGCAGCAUGACGCCAUGAUUCACCAUCAUCAUCAUCUUCAGCAGCAUCAUCACCUUCUGCAGCAGCAGCUUCACCAACAACAUCAGCAGCCCUCUACCCUUCUGUCCAGCGUCAUUGUGAAAGAGAAGGUGCCCGACGCCUCUUUCACCCAGAUCCGCACUCCCAGUGUAAAACAGGAGAAGCAGGAGCCUGCGUUCUGCCAAUCGCAGUGUCUCCAAGGAGGCAUGGGCUCGGUUCAUGCAGGAGCACCAAUGUCCUCGUCUACGAGCAUGAACGUGGUUCCUGGCUACCACUGCAGAACCAGUGCACCCUCCAACAUGGGCCAGCAAGACCGAAAGCCCUUCGGCAUGCACUCAAAUCUGCCUUCAAUGGGGGAGAGCUGGAUGCGAGUGGACGGCUACGGAGAUGCAAGGGGGUUUCAAAGAGCCAAUGAUGGGCUCGCCAAUCCUGCGUUGUUGACGUCAUACCCGCUCAGUUUUUCAAGCACCUCACCCAGAACUGGAGCAGCGUCCAACAGUUCUCUGGUGUCGGCUCAAUCCAAACCCAACGGGCAGACCCACAAAGUGUGUCUGGUGUGUUCGGACGAGGCCUCCGGAUGCCACUAUGGGGUGGUAACCUGCGGCAGCUGCAAGGUUUUCUUCAAGAGGGCUGUGGAAGGAUGGAGAGCUCGACAAAAGAGUGAUGGCCAGCACAACUACCUGUGUGCAGGCAGGAACGACUGCAUCAUCGAUAAGAUCCGAAGGAAAAACUGUCCAGCAUGCCGCUUCCGCAAAUGCCUUCAGGCUGGAAUGAAUUUAGAAGCGAGGAAAAACAAGAAGCUGAACAAAAGAAGAGAGCAGCGGAUUAUCAGGCUGCCGGAGCCUGUCCCCGCCAUGCCUCUGCCGGCCAUCCCUGCCUGCGUUCCCCAGCUGGCGCCCACCAUGCUGUCUGUGCUCAAGGCCAUCGAGCCCGAGAUCAUCUACUCGGGCUACGACGCCACACUGCCCGAUACGUCCUCGCGCCUCAUGAGCACGCUCAACAAGCUUGGCGGGAAUCAGAUCAUCUCGGCUGUCAAGUGGGCAAAGUCGCUGCCAGGCUUCCGUAACUUGCACCUGGAUGACCAGAUGACGCUGCUGCAGUGCUCGUGGCUCUUCCUCAUGUCCUUCGGACUGGGCUGGAGGUCGUACCAGCAGUGCAACGGCAGUAUGCUCUGCUUCGCCCCCGACCUCAUCAUCAACAAAGAUCGCAUGAAGCUUCCCUUCAUGUCGGGGCAAUGCGAGCAGAUGCUGAAGAUCUGCACGGAGUUUGUGCGUCUGAAGGUGUCCUACGACGAGUACCUGUGUAUGAAGGUGCUGCUGCUGCUGAGCACAGUGCCUAAAGAGGGCCUAAAGAGCCAGGCGGUGUUCGAUGAGAUCCGCAUGAUGUACAUCAAGGAGCUGGGAAAAGCCAUCGUCAAACGAGAGGAGAACACCAGCCAGAACUGGCAACGCUUCUACCAGCUCACCAAGCUACUGGACUCCAUGCAAGGGAUGGUGGAGGAUCUCCUCCAGAUUUGCUUCUACACGUUCAUGAAUAAGACGCUGAGUGUGGAGUUCCCUGAGAUGUUGGCGGAGAUCAUCACCAACCAGAUACCAAAAGUCAAAGAUGGCAGCGUCAAGCAGCUGCUCUUUCAUCAGAAGUGAGCGCCUUCAGGCCUUACAGCCAUGCCUUAAAAUCCCGCCCCGACCCCAACACACCACCUGAUUGCCACAUCCUCGUUCAGAUUACCUCUCUCACAGUGGACAUACACCUACGAUGAACAUUUCAGACUCCUCCUUGAUUUCUAAGUGGGAGAACUUGCAAUAUGGUAGGGUGUUCAAAUACUUAUUUUCUUCACUGUCAACCAUUUUCACUGUUCAGCUCCUUUUUAGAACUGCAAGCUUAAAGUGCUAAAACGAACAGCUGGACAUGGAUUCAAAGGUUUCUAAACUGGACUUACAUUAACCUGUCAAUGUUACAGUAAUUUUUAGGUUCAUUCUGAAAUUUCAGCCGAAAGCUGCGUUAUCGUGAAUUUUUUUCUGAUUAGUGCACUCUAUAGUUGCCCGCUUACAACCCCCCUCCCCCACUCAACCCCCCCCCUCCCCCCCGCCCCAGCACCCCAACCUCUAUUUGCCCAAAUGCGCUCAGCUUUAAGAUGUAUACAUAUCACGGAGACAGCGAGCCAUAAAAAUCUUAAUCAGGAGAUUCAAAAUAUUUUUGAAAUGUAAAUCAUUUUGUUUUUCUCUCAAGCUGUUGUGUGGUGGUUGUCGCUUUGUGCUAAAAGGUAGACGUGGUGACGACGUUAACAAGUGUUGAACGUCUGUUUCGUGAAGUCAAUGUAAAAGCUGCGGGUCGUUGGACUUGGAGGGCGGCGGGGGAGUUUGUGAACGAGGUUAAGGUGGAUUUGCUGAGCUAAGAUUUUGUGACCAAAGCUGGGAAGCAGGCAGGAAAAAAAAAAAAAAAAAAAAAAGCAUUGUUACAUUUUAAGUAGCACUUAUGAUACAGCUUAUUUUGAAAGGUAACUUUUUUGGGAUCUCUUCGCUAUUGAUGUGCAGACUUUCUGGUCACUUUAAAAACCACCGCUCCCUCCACCCCCCCACACACAAAAACAGAUUGGAAUGUAAAUCGACUGGACCCAGACGAAAUUGCACUACGCUCAUACCAGUCGUUAAGAGCCUAUUUUGUAUAAAGUGUCAUCUUAAAAGAUUGUAAGGACAGAUCAAUUUUCGCUUGUCUGUAUGGCCUAUUGUUUUGUUCCUAUUUCAGUUCAAUGUAAUAAAUGCAAACACAAUGUACAAUGUUUAUUUGGGUGGGAGGGGGUUGGGGGGGUCUUAUAAAAAAAAAAAAUCGGUUCUGAUAUGGAGUCAGUGACGAUAUUUUCACUUUUUUGAUUCAAUGUUGAAUCUGUGUUGUUAUUUGGUUGACUGGCAGGAAGUGAUUUGACUUGAGACCGAUUACACAAUAAAGUAAACUGUUUUUCCAAACUUUUGACUCUCCAUUGGAAGUUUCUUUCGGCUUGUCCCUUUUGGGGUCGCCACAGCGUGUCAUCUCAGAUGAACGAACGCACAUAUACGUUUGGCACAAUUUUUACGCCGGAUGCCCUUCCUGACGCAACCCUUCUCAGGGAGUGGAGGCCCCGGUGGGAUAUGAACCCACAACCCCUGGUUUACCAAACUAGUGCUCUAACCACUGAGCUAUGGGGCCUCACCUUCAAACUUUUGACUCUCCAUUAAUGACUACAAAUGUGCUGAAAACAAGCGACCAACAAGAUUUCAAGACCUCUCAUUCAAAACCCUUAGCUACUACUUGGGCUCAAUAUAAUAUCAAAAUAUUUGAAGAAAUUGUUCUCAAU